CCCUUAGAUGUUCUGGGCCGCACGCGCGCUACACUGACGAAUGCAACGAGCUUAUAACCUUGGCCGAAAGGUCUGGGUAACCUCCAAAUUUCGUCGUGAUGGGGAUAGAUUAUUGCAAUUAUUAAUCUUCAACGAGGAAUGCCUAGUAAGCGCAAGUCAUCAGCUUGCGUUGAUUACGUCCCUGCCCUUUGUACACACCGCCCGUCGCUCCUACCGAUUGAAUGGUCCGGUGAAGCGUUCGGACCGUGGCCUUUGGACGGUUCGCCGUCUGUUGGCUGCGGGAAGUUCGCUAAACCUUAUCAUUUAGAGGAAGGAGAAGUCGUANCA
rnacentral:rRNA from 1 species